UUUCGAAUCAUUCACAAUGGGCGAAAGCCUGAUGGUGCGACGCCGCGUGAGGGAUGAAGGUCUUCGGAUUGUAAACCUCUGUCACUGGGGAAGAAACGCUGCAUUUUAAUAGAAUGCAGCCUGACUUAACCCAGAGAGGAAGCAGUGGCUAACUCUGUGCCAGCAGCCGCGGUAAUACAGAGACUGCAAGCGUUAUUCGGAUUCACUGGGCGUAAAGGGUGCGCAGGCGGCCAUGUGUGUUAGGUGUGAAAGCCCGGGGCUUAACCCCGGAAUUGCGCCUAAAACUACAUGGCUAGAGCAUUGGAGAGGGUAGCAGAAUUCAUGGUGUAGCAGUGAAAUGCGUAGAUAUCAUGAGGAAUACCAGAGGCGAAGGCGGCUACCUGGACAAUUGCUGACGCUCAGGCACGAAAGCGUGGGGAGCAAAAG
rnacentral:rRNA from 1 species